rnacentral:rRNA from 1 species
AAACCCAGUGUGACUCGUCACACUAUCAUUAACUGAAUCCAUAGGUUAAUGAGGCGAACCGGGGGAACUGAAACAUCUAAGUACCCCGAGGAAAAGAAAUCAACCGAGAUUCCCCCAGUAGCGGCGAGCGAACGGGGAGGAGCCCAGAGCCUGAAUCAGCAUGUGUGUUAGUGGAAGCGUCUGGAAAGGCGCGCGAUACAGGGUGACAGCCCCGUACACAAAAGCGCAUGUGCUGUGAGCUCGAUGAGUAGGGCGGGACACGUGGUAUCCUGUCUGAAUAUGGGGGGACCAUCCUCCAAGGCUAAAUACUCCUGACUGACCGAUAGUGAACCAGUACCGUGAGGGAAAGGCGAAAAGAACCCCGGCGAGGGGAGUGAAAAAGAACCUGAAACCGUGUACGUACAAGCAGUGGGAGCCCCACCACCAAAGCAUUUGCUGUACCGCGUUGACGGAGCGAAGCGACGUCAAACCGAUAAAACAGCAGUGUAAAGUGAGCCGCAGGGCGCUUUGCG